GUUAAGGAAAUUUAAGCAAUGUAUAGAAUCUAUUCUGACUUUUUAAUAUCAUGUAAUACUUAACAGACAUUAUUAUGUAAGAUGUUUUUCUGCCAAAGAAUGUAGGUUCGUGACAAGAACUUGCUAAGUCACCCUAGUCUUGCUGAUUUGUGUCAUGUGCCCACCCAGGACCAGAUGGUGUUCGAUAAGGAGGAACGGGCCUCAAGGCCUGCUAUGAUUGGUCCAAGCUUGGGUGGAGUAAUUCUUUGUAAUAUGCAAUAUUAGGGGCCAUCUAUGCCAUGUUCGUGAGGCAGAUGGAGCUCCCUUGUAAUUACUUAUAGAGGCGUGGCCUGUUGCCAAGGUAACGGCUGCAGUAACAGCAAAGAAAUUGAUAUCUGAAUUUGUGUGCAGGUAUGGCCUACAUGAAACGGUUGAGAGAGCAAAUAGCGUAUUAAAAAUGUCUAAGAUCUGUGAGCAAACAAAACUUACAUGGGUACAAGCUUUACCAGUAGAUCCUUUUGCAAUGAGGUAUA